rnacentral:misc_RNA from 1 species
AACGCACAUUGCGCCCCUUGGUAUUCCAUGGGGCAUGCCUGUUCGAGCGUCAUAUACACCCUCAAGCUCUGCUUGGUGUUGGGCGUCUGUCCCGCCUCCGCGCGCGGACUCGCCCCAAAUCCAUUGGCAGCGGUCCUUGCCCCCUCUCGCGCAGCACAUUGCGCUUCUCGAGGGCGGCUCCGGGCCUGCGACCCACGAAGAUGAGCCGUCUUUUGACCUCGGAUCAGGUAGGGAUACCCGCUGAACUUAA